GAUGAACGCUGGCGGCGUGCCUAAUACAUGCAAGUCGAGCGAACGGACGAGAAGCUUGCUUCUCUGAUGUUAGCGGCGGACGGGUGAGUAACACGUGGAUAACCUACCUAUAAGACUGGGAUAACUUCGGGAAACCGUAGCUAAUACCGGAUAAUAUUUUGAACCGCAUGGUUCAAAAGUGAAAGACGGUCUUGCUGUCACUUAUAGAUGGAUCCGCGCUGCAUUAGCUAGUUGGUAAGGUAACGGCUUACCAAGGCAACGAUGCAUAGCCGACCUGAGAGGGUGAUCGGCCACACUGGAACUGAGACACGGUCCAGACUCCUACGGGAGGCAGCAGUAGGGAAUCUUCCGCAAUGGGCGAAAGCCUGACGGAGCAACGCCGCGUGAGUGAUGAAGGUCUUCGGAUCGUAAAACUCUGUUAUUAGGGAAGAACAUAUGUGUAAGUAACUGUGCACAUCUUGACGGUACCUAAUCAGAAAGCCACGGCUAACUACGUGCCAGCAGCCGCGGUAAUACGUAGGUGGCAAGCGUUAUCCGGAAUUAUUGGGCGUAAAGCGCGCGUAGGCGGUUUUUUAAGUCUGAUGUGAAAGCCCACGGCUCAACCGUGGAGGGUCAUUGGAAACUGGAAAACUUGAGUGCAGAAGAGGAAAGUGGAAUUCCAUGUGUAGCGGUGAAAUGCGCAGAGAUAUGGAGGAACACCAGUGGCGAAGGCGACUUUCUGGUCUGUAACUGACGCUGAUGUGCGAAAGCGUGGGGAUCAAACAGGAUUAGAUACCCUGGUAGUCCACGCCGUAAACGAUGAGUGCUAAGUGUUAGGGGGUUUCCGCCCCUUAGUGCUGCAGCUAACGCAUUAAGCACUCCGCCUGGGGAGUACGACCGCAAGGUUGAAACUCAAAGGAAUUGACGGGGACCCGCACAAGCGGUGGAGCAUGUGGUUUAAUUCGAAGCAACGCGAAGAACCUUACCAAAUCUUGACAUCCUUUGACAACUCUAGAGAUAGAGCCUUCCCCUUCGGGGGACAAAGUGACAGGUGGUGCAUGGUUGUCGUCAGCUCGUGUCGUGAGAUGUUGGGUUAAGUCCCGCAACGAGCGCAACCCUUAAGCUUAGUUGCCAUCAUUAAGUUGGGCACUCUAAGUUGACUGCCGGUGACAAACCGGAGGAAGGUGGGGAUGACGUCAAAUCAUCAUGCCCCUUAUGAUCUGGGCUACACACGUGCUACAAUGGACAAUACAAAGGGCAGCGAAACCGCGAGGUCAAGCAAAUCCCAUAAAGUUGUUCUCAGUUCGGAUUGUAGUCUGCAACUCGACUACAUGAAGCUGGAAUCGCUAGUAAUCGUAGAUCAGCAUGCUACGGUGAAUACGUUCCCGGGUCU
rnacentral:rRNA from 1 species